GACGAACGCUGGCGGCGUGCUUAACACAUGCAAGUCGAACGGUAAGGCCCUUCGGGGUACACGAGUGGCGAACGGGUGAGUAACACGUGGGUGAUCUGCCCUGCACUUCGGGAUAAGCCUGGGAAACUGGGUCUAAUACCGGAUAGGACCACUGCCUGCAUGGGUGGUGGUGGAAAGCUUUUGCGGUGUGGGAUGGGCCGGCGGCGGAUCAGGUUGUUGGUGGGGGGAUGGCCUACCAAGGCGACGACGGGUAGCCGGCUAGAGAGGGUGACAGACGACACUGAGAAUUAGAGACGGCCGAGACUCCUACGGGUGGCAGCUGGGGGGAAUAUUGCACAAUGGGGGCAGGCCUGAUGCAGCGACGCCGCGUGAGGGAUGACGGCCUUCGGGUUGUAAACCUCUUUCAGCGCCGACGAAGCGCGAGUGACGGUAGGUGCAGAAGAAGGACCGGCCAACUACGUGCCAGCCGCCGCAGUAA
rnacentral:rRNA from 1 species